rnacentral:tRNA from 1 species
GAAAUAUAUUAAAUUUAAGGAAAAGCUUCUAACUUUUCACUUUAGCAGUGAAAUUCUGUUAAUAUUUCU